rnacentral:rRNA from 1 species
UGAGUAACCUGCCCUUCACUCUGGGAUAACUCCGGGAAACCGGGGCUAAUACUGGAUAUGACUCGAACAGGCAUCUGUUUCGGGUGGAAAGAUUUAUUGGUGGGGGAUGGACUCGCGGCCUAUCAGCUUGUUGGUGAGGUAAUGGCUCACCAAGGCGACGACGGGUAGCCGGCCUGAGAGGGUGAUCGGCCACAUUGGGACUGAGACACGGCCCAGACCUCCGUACGGGGAGCA